rnacentral:lncRNA from 1 species
AGCCCCCUCACUGUGUUGCUCCCACCACUCACCCGAUACCGACCCCCUCGCCCACGCCCGGGCAGGCAGGGCUGGGACACCAGACCUACCUGGGCCACGGGAUGCACUGGGCAGGUGGGGGUGGCAGGGACAGUGGCUUCUGAGUGCACAGGAGUGGCUGGUGUUUGACGAGAUCCGCCCUCAGGUAAGCGGCAUGAGGAGAAUGACACUAGCGGCUUGGGCAGAAGAGAGAAGGGCCGUUGAAGCAGACAGCGCCGGCUAUUUUCAGGCGGGCUCCAUUUGGGUGGCCUCCUGCCCCCUAAUAUCUGAUAUUGGGAAAGAAUGGUGGCUUUCCCGCUGCGGAAACUGUUUUCCUCAUCAGUUACAGCUGAGCACCUGCCUGCUCGCUGCUCACCGGGGGCACAGGCACUGCCCCUAAAAGCCGAGAGCCUCUCGCGCACGCGCAGUCCGCUUCCCAGAACCGGCCGGCUCCAGUCUGAUCCUGUCAAGGCUUGUUGGCCUAGAGCCUGGUCCUGCGCAGGGAACAUGCUCAAAUGCACUCAUCAUGACAAAGUACCUGCUGUGGAAAUGCUUUUUAAAAUUGUGAGACAUGAAGGCGUUUUUGGAGGAAGAAGGGUCAUUAUCUAAUUCUUAAGAUUUUUGAUACCUUGUAAGAAUCUUAGAGAGUUUGAACAACUUACUAAUAGCUUUAGUGUUUCCAGCCGAUCUUUAAUGUACAAGGUUAAGCGGAUGCAUCUUUAUGUUAAAUAAAGUAUUUGAAGCCUAUAAAUACAAACCAGUUUCAUUUAAUUGUUUUGACUGCCUCCUCCUGCAGCAGCACUUUCUGAAGCACUGCUGACAAACAGUAAAAAGAAAAAUUUGCAUUUCAGAGCCCUUUAUUUCCCCAAUCAUACAUUGGUGUGGAUUCUAGUGAAUAAUGCGAAAACUCAGUGGCGGGAAGCCAAAAAGAGAAUAAAAAAAAGCAAAGAUGGAGAUAACAAACUAUGCCACAAACUAUCCUAUUAAUCCUAGAAUGACUGGGAAUUGAUUAUUAGUGAGCUCAUUUUUUGUUUGUUUCAGCUCUUGACUAGAGAAGGCUGGCUUUGCAGAGCAUCAUAAAGCAUGAUGAACAGAGGCUUUCUCAAAGGCUCAAGUCCCUAUUUUUUCACUAAAUGGAUGUUAACACUAGGACUAUACAAGUCAUAUAUCAUUAAGAAAAGAAAUUAAGAUCUUAGUGUCUUUUCUAAAUAUAUUUUCAUAAAAAUAAAUUUGAAAUAAAGAACACAGGGACUUUAUCACUUGUCUCAAUAGCUAGAUUUUUGGCAUUUGUAUUUAAACAAAUAAUAUGAUAUAAGUGCUAUAUUCAAAAUAUGUGCUAUGGAAGACAAUAUAUUACAUCAAUAACAAUUAAGAUAUAUAUUCUUAGCCUUUUUUGACCCACAUUUUAUUCAGUUAUCAGCAUUCAACAAAUAUUUGUUGAACACAUACACCAAAUGUUUCCAUUUAACAAUGCCAACUGUUAUCUCCAUUUCUCUUUUAAAACAAAGAUUAUUAAAUGAAUGGGGAUUGAUGGAGAGAGCUGAUGAUUUGUCUUGGGAACCUGAGAGGGAGAAAGAAUUUAGAGACCUGGCUGGACCAGAGGUAUGCUGGUAAGUGUUUAACAACUGGCUCUCCAGGGUUUAAAAAGAAAAAAAAGAGGCCCCAUUUGUUUGUUAAUUCAUGUGGUGGUAAAUAACACCUGGCUUCCCAGUAGUAAAGAACCUGCCUGACAGUGCAGGAGACGUAAGAGACAUGGGUCUGAGCCCUGGGUUGGGAAGAUCACCUGGAGAAGGGAACCCACUCCAGUAUUCUUGCCUGGAGAAACCAUGGACAGAGGAACCUGGCGGACUACAGUCCAUGGGGUCACAAAGAGUCGGACACUACUGAAGCAACUUGGCAUGCACAUAAAGAACACCAUCAUGUCUGAUUUCAGUCUACCAACCUGACGUCAUUGAAUGUGGAGUUGGGAAAAGACAAACUUUCCAUUUUCCUGAUCUGUGAUGACCCCACUCUAGUACAUCAUUGUUAACACUCAACAGUGACUUUCUGGGGUCACCCUGAGAGCCUAUCUGUGACUGUAGAACAGGCAAAACUGGGAGGUUAAAUAGCUUUGCAGAGUGACUCAUAAAUGCCCAUAGAUACAUAUAUAUAUGCCUGCAUUGUCCUUAUAUCUUUUCUUUUAGAGCAUCUAAUCUCACAUGCCCUCUGGUAAACUGAGCAACUGACCUCUGCUGCCACAAAGAGAAAAACAGCAUUUGCUAUGGGAAGAUGGCAGUAACUUUAAGCUCCUUUUGCAAUAUGUUUCCCCAUUUUGUCACACAAUAUUAAAAAUAUGUGUCCCUGAGGAUGAGAUUUAAUAAAAUCAGUAAUGUUUCUGCUUCAUCAAGGAAAUUCUUAAAUAAAAUUUGCAGUUUCCAAUGAGAAUAUGUUAAGAUAAAGAAUUCAGUGACUCUAAGUCUUAAUUAGAGCUAAAUUUCCAGAAGUUUACCCACUAUUGCUUUUGUACCAUCAUCACAAAUAUCAAGCCAAUUUAAAGGGUCAAUAACAUCUUAGUUUUGUUAUGAAAAUAAUUUUUACCUUGCAGGCCUCAAAAAAGCAUCUCUGAGCCUCCUGGGGUUCCAUGGACAACAGUUUGAGAGCUACCACUCUAACCUGCUGCUGCUGCUAAGUCGCUUCAGUUGUGUCCGACUCUGUGCGACCCCAGGGAUGGCAGCCCACCAGGCUCCCCUAUCCCUGGGAUUCUCCAGGCAAGAACACUGGAGUGGGUUGCCAUUUCCUUCUCCAAUGCAUGAAAGUGAAAAGUGAAAGUGAAGUCGCUCAGUCAUGUCCGACUCUUAGCGACCCCAUGGACUGCAGCCCACCAGGCUCCUCCAUCCAUGGGAUUUUCCAGGCAAGAGUACUGGAGUGGGGUGCCACUGAGGGUCACGAAUAUCUCUUGGAUGAUUUAUCACAGUAAGCUCCACAUGUCCAUCCUGGCUACCUUGUGAUCCAUUCAGCAACAGUCAAAGUGGACUUGUAAUAAAGCAAACCUAAUCAUGUCACUUCUUACUCAAAACCCUCUUAUGACUUCCCGUUACUCUUAGAAUUGAAUGAAAACCCUUUCUAUGACUGACGGAGCCCUCUGUUAUUUUGUCCUUGCCUACCGCUGCAGCCUCAUCUCCCUGUGUCCUCCUCUUCAAUCUGUUUACAGCAGCUACGCUAGCUUCUUUCUGUUUUUCAGCCACAGCAGAGUCAUUCUUGCUACCAGUCUUUGCAUGUGCUCUUCUUUGUAAUGUUUUCUCCAUAUUCUACUGACCUGAUUAGCUGGACUCAUUCUGUAGCUAUGGACUUAAAUCUCACUCUAAGAGGAUUUCCUUAUCAGUCUCCUGUUAGAUUAGAUCCCCUCUCAUGUGUUCUCACCCUCUUGUGAUUAUAUACUUACAGUUGAACUUGUUUUUGAGAUCUGUCUUCUCUGAGAGACCAUAACUGUUCUCAUGGAAGAGACUAUGUCUGUCAUGAUCUCCAUAACAGAUUAAGGGCUUUGAAUGUUGUCUGACUUGAUUGAAGACUGUCACCUAGUGUGAAAAAGAAGGACCUGGAAGAUGAUCUG